UACGUAGGGCGCAAGCGUUGUCCGGAAUUAUUGGGCGUAAAGAGCUCGUAGGCGGCCAGUUGCGUCUGCUGUGAAAUCCCGGGGCUCAACCCCGGGCUUGCAGUGGAUACGGGCUGGCUGGAGGCAGGCAGGGGAGAACGGAAUUCCCGGUGUAGCGGUGAAAUGCGCAGAUAUCGGGGGGAACACCGGUGGCGAAGGCGGUUCUCUGGGCCUGUACUGACGCUGAGGAGCGAAAGCGUGGGGAGCGAACAGG
rnacentral:rRNA from 1 species